rnacentral:lncRNA from 1 species
CCGACCAUAGCAAGAACAAAGGAAGAAAAGAAGAACACAAACCCUAGGUGGAAAAAUUCAUGGGAAAAGUGUGAAAAUUCAAGUAAUCAAGCAAUCAAAGGUAAAAUUUCUUGAUUUUGACUUGUGAUCUACCUUUCCCAUGCAUUAUUUUGCAUUUUUCAUGGUUGAAUCACAAGAUAUCAUGAAGGAUUCAUUGCUGACCGAAUUUAGAGAGAGAGGAUUUGAUGGUUGUUUUGGUUAGAUUUUAAGAUAUUCUAGUGUUUUUAGUUAGUUGGUGAUGUAUAGCAUGAAAAUCAAACAAGAAAAAUUCAUUUUCUCCCAUAACCCAUCAUUGGCUGAAUUUUCCAUGUAGAGUGUGGAUGAUGAUUUUGAUUUUAUUUCCAGUGAAUUGGUUAGGAAAUGAUGAAUUAUGGUGAGAAAAUCAAGUAGGAAAAAUCAUAAUGUUGAUGCACCCACCAUGGCCGAAUUUUUCAAGAGAAAAUGUGAAGAUGAUUUUGCUAGAUUUUAUGCUAUUUGACUUGUGUUUGAUGAUUUGGAGUAUUGAGAGAAAAAUGAAAUUAUUUGGAGUGAAAUUGGACAUAUUGGCCAAUUAAUCGAGAGAUAGAUCAAAUUAGAUCAAUACCGUUUUAUUUAGAUACACAAUUGAAUUUAUGUAGAGUACUGUGUUUGGACGAUAAUCCGAACAAUUUGCAUCCCAUUUCAUGCAUUAGUAAAGAGCCUGAAAUAGAUUUAUAAUGGUAUGACACAGUAUAUUAAAUUAUGUGUCGUGUAUUGUGUAUAGGUGUUGAGCCUUCUAACAAGGGUAAAGACGUUGUGUUAGAGGAUUGAGAAUAGGAGUAAUUCAAACUCCUUAUACAAUAAGUAACCUUACUAUCAUCUUAAUUAUCUGAAGUGGUUUUUAUCCGAUUUUGUGAUUUUAUGAAAAAUGAGUUUAAAUGGUAAAUCUUUAUGUUUUAUAAGUAAAAUGUGUUUAAAUGAAAUGAUUUUUUAAAAUUAUCUUGAAAUUGAAUAAUGGCUUUGAAAAUAGAGUAAUUGGAGACCAUUUGAUGUAUUGUGAAUUUAUGGUUCUAAUUGAUUGGCUUAUGACAAUAUUAGCAUGAAUGGCUGAAUUGGUAUUUGUGUUGAAAUGUAUAAACUGUUGUUUACCUUGAUAGGCUGGAUAAUAAUAAAAUUGUCAUAUCAUGCUGUUGAAUUUUUAUUGUAUGGUGGGUUUAGCUUGCUAUAGUGGGCUGGUUCUGUGGACCAACCUAUUAGAGGGGCACGAAACCUGGUCAUAUAUAUGUACCUCGAUUAGAGAGGCGCGUAGGGUAACUCUCGAGGUCAAACUUUAGAGUUCACUUCACGCCCAACCACCACGUGAGGGGAACUCGACCAACGUCAAUGAAUGGCUAUGUUUUCAAAAUAAAAACAUGAUUUAUGCGCACAUAACUUUUUAACAGCUUUGGUGGACUCGGUUGGGAUAGCCCUCAAUCAAGGCAUCCCUGAUAACUGAGUAUGAAAAUGAUUUUGGCAAGAGCCAAAGUUUUAAGAAAUUCAUAAGCCAUGUUGAUUACUCGAUUUAUGUGAAUUGAUUUUAUUUGGUUGAAACAAGUUGAAAGGUGAUGAAUUACAGUAUGUUGAACUAUUUUAUCUGUCUCCAUUUACUCGGCUUUAGAUAUUUUAGAUGAUAUUUGUUUACUCACUGAGAUUAUAUAAUCUCACCACCCUCCUUUCCACCCAUUUCAGGUUCAAGAUAGUCUAUGGAUAGCUGAUUUCAUCAAGGACCACCAUUGGAUUUGCAUCCUCCAAACUGUAGGUUCACAAUUUUUCUUACUUUCGGUUAUUCGAGAGCUCACUUGUUACUGUAAAUUAAAUUAAAUACUCUGGCUUACUGUAUUACGAUAUAUAUGAAUUUAUUUUGCUUUUACGUUGUAAAAAAUUAUUUAUGCAGUAUUCUAAAAAUAUUGUUUUAUGAGAAAAUUGAAUAUUUUAUUGAAUAUUUUUAUUUUAUUCUAAUAGUCAUAAUUUCAUUUUAAACGAAUGUUUUAGACAUCCAAAUUUAUUUUUGAUUAUGAAAUAUGUGUUUUGCACUAGCAUACUACAUUUUUAACGGAUUUCGAGAUUUAUGAGAAAAAAUGACCAAAAUGCCCCUAUGAGAAAAAAAUUGUUUUUCUAUUGUUUUGAUUUGGAAAAUGUUUAUGAUCUCUCAAAACAUAAUUUUAGUGACUAAUACUCAUAGGGGAAGGGAGAAAAAUUGAUGUUAAGCCUUGCGAGGUUUCGAUUGACAUUCCGGGUAAAGAAUGUCUAUCGGGACGUCGCGACGAUUGUCACGGGCCCGAUGAGAGUUCCGGAUCGUGACAUGAUAACUUGAAACAAAACGUACAGUUAGUUAUCUAUAGAGAGAUGAACCCAAAUCAUGCAAUUUAUUGCAAUUUUAAAAAAUUUUACUAACUAAAUUAAUGAUAUUGUGUUAUUGUUUGAUUAUGCAAUUGAGUACAUCUUCAAUGGUGACAUUUGAUGUAACUACAUGAACGAGGCUAAAUUAAUUUUCAGUGCCUUCCUUUCUGCUAUUUGUCAUAAACUCCAAGAAAUAUAUAUAUAUAUAUAUAUAUACACACACACACAUAUACACACACACACACACACACACACACACACACACGUAUAUACAUAUGUUUAUGAGUUCAAUUCCAAAAAUUAUUUGUUCUCGUAAUUUCUUUUUUUUUUAAAGACAAUCCCAAUAAAAACAGCAACAUAAGUUAUGUAUGUAUAGUCUAGUGUUCAAUGGCAUGUAAAUUUAUUGGUUCAUUAGAUUACAUAGAGAUAAGAUUUAUAUCUCUUAAUUAUAAGUUUUUGUUUUAAUCUUUCAAAUUCAGACAUGGGGAAUGAUGAAAAAUAUUUAAAUAUUAAUCAAAUUUAUAAGUUAUAAUUGGGCUAUCCAUUGAGGUUUAUUGGUCUAGAAUGCACUGGAUCUCUUAAUCUUAGUUUUUUUUUUUUAAUUUUGUCCCUAUUUUUUUAUUUUUUCUUUUCUUUUUGCCCUCCCCUUGCCACCACAGCACAAGGAUGAAAAUGCCCGGGCAUAGUAACCACAAAACUUAUUCUAUAAUCCAGUUUAUUUUAUUUUAUUUUAUACAUUUAAUAUAUUUCAGUUUUUUAAUAUAACAAAUAGAAGUUGAAUGCAAGCUAAAAAACGUUUGACAUCGUUUUGUCACUUUGUUGUCCUUUUGAUUCUUCCUAAGUAAUAGACUUUUAAUUCCUUCUUCAUUUGUUUAAAUCUCACCUUUUUCUUUUUGUUUUAUCACAACUAUUUUAUCUUAAUAUGACAAUAAUUUAUUACAUAAAUUUAAUAACAAAACCUAUAAAUUCAUAAAUAAAUCAAUCAAAAUAAGAUAUUUUUAAAAUAUAAUCAAUAAAGAGUAAAUUCUACAUAGAUAUCUUGUGAUAUAACAUUUUUUCACAUAACACUUUAAGGGGUUUUUUUUCGUAUAAAAUUAUAUUUCACUUUUAUAUUCAAAUGAGUGAACAGUGUUAUAUUUUCAAUUAAUUUUUUUAAAAAAGGCAAUAAUAGGUUUCUUUUAUAAUUCUUUUAUUUUUUUGUUCAUUUAGUUAAAAAAAAUUGGACCAUUUUUGGGAUUUCUUUUAUAAUCCUUUUAUCCUCACUCAAAUCUUUCUGUUUGAGACUCAAAAACUUAAUAGGGGUUAAAUAACAUUGAUUAUGUCUUCUUUCCUCAAGUUUCUCAAGCAAAAUACAUAAGUCCCUAGUUUAAUAUUUUUGUCUUGACAUGUUCCUCACAUAAAUUUUAUUUUAUUUUUUUGGCUAUAAAAUUUGGCCUAGGUGGCAAUUGCCAAUUUUUCUGCUUUCAUUUGUUUUUUAAAUCCUCAGUUGAGGAAAAAAUCCUGGGGAAAUAUAUGCUUCAAUUGACGAUCUAUAAAAGGCAGUACACAUAUUUUUUCAACAAAAAGAACUUUUGCUGCACAAAGCCAAAGCUACAUAUUUCCAAACCUUCCCAAGCCAAGCAACAGACAUUGUACAAUCGCCAAGUCCAGAAGCUAAACAACUAGUUGCAAGCAUCUAAAGCUCAUUACCAAAAACUUGUGCUUGUCAAAAGCAUUAAGCCAGCUUUAGCAAACACUAAACAAAACAAGCACUGCCAACCAUUUCACCUGACUUUAACCAAUUCAACAUCAAAAACCAGCCACGAGUCCGGUGGAAUAUUCUCACUAGCCCCUUCAUUUCUAUAACUGCAAAACAAACCCAAGUACAUCAUUGAAGGAACUGGACCAGGCCAAGAGUAAAAACAUAAUAGAGAAAUGAGCUUGGUGUAUUUAACCAAAUUGAAUUGCAUACCUCAUUGAUGGUGGAACAGUGAGUCUACGUUUGCCACCAACUCGCAUACCUAAAAAUCACAAUACAUUACACUCAUAAGGAACAAAAUUCUAGGAAAAUAGAAAUUCAAUUUGUUAAUGGAUAAAAAUUACUUAUGAAAAAAAAAUCAAAGCUCAUACCAUCAAUGCCAACAUUCCAUACCUCUGGAACUUCUUCCCCACCUGCAAAAGCAACAUAGUUAAAAGUCCUAACUUAAAAAGUUAGUAAAACAAAUACAUAUUUGCAAAGAGCAGCAUUUAAAUCAAAAACUUGCCCACACUCUCUAAUAACCAGUCUCCCUAGAAUGUGUAGGCACAUUUGUUCAUAAAAACUAUGCAAUAUGAUAAGAAACUGAAUAGAUAAUACCUUUUUGAAUUAGGCAAUGACCAAAAAACCACUGUGCUAGUAAAGUAUAAUUUAACCAAAGAUGCCUACCAAGCCGAAACUUUAACAGAGCUUUUCCAGCGCUUGAAUAAAAUACUUCUCCACUCUCCUUCAACUUUCCAGUGUAACGGACACGAACCUAACACAAAGAGUAUCGUUUUCAAUCAAAACUCUUUAAAUAAUUUCCUUUAGUUCAACAUGGCAGAACUUACAAGGAGAGAAUAUGCAUAGUCAUUACAAAAUGGACAAAAUAGUAAAUCAAGACCACAUGCCUUUUUACCAAGAGAAGCUAGUUUGCGAUCUGGUUUCCCCAUUUCUAACUCUUCAAUGAUCAUUCCAUUUGACAGCUGAAUUGCCUCGUAAUUAGCAUUCUCACCAUCCAUGUCCAUAACAGAUCUAUCCUUUUCAAUGCCUGAUAAGAGAGGUGCUUCCAUCUUCAUGGCAUCCCCAUUGUCCUUAUUCUUGCGCCUUUUCUUCCUUUUCCUCCUCCUAGAUUGAUUUUAUAAAAGAAAUUGAUCAGUAUCACUGUUAAAACACCUGCAAAUAGCUAAUGGCUAAGAUUUGCCAUUACAAGACUAGAACUAGAAUAAAAAGUCUUGCAGGCAAAUUCAACUCAUGCACCCAAGGUAGAUGUGUCAUGUAUAGAAAAUGAAAAAGACUGCAAUUGCACACAUGGCCAUUCACAAGUCAAGCAAGUCAACACUUACUUUUCAUUAACUUGGCUUUGAGUUUCCUUAUCCUCCACAUAUACAUCCAGGGUUACGGCAUCCAAAUUUGAACCGUUUUUCUGGCCUUUAUCUUCUUCAGCAACAUUGUCUUCAAAUGUUUUCUCUUCUACCUGUUCUUUUCUUUUCCUCAUUGGCUUUGCUCCAUCUUCAAGAGCCACUUCAGUGGAAGCUAGCAAGAGACUAUGUUGAAAGUUCUCUUCCCUACAAUAACAUAUUGUAUAGUGAUUGUUAAAACAAGAAUGAUUCCUUAAAAAACAUAUAACUAAGAUGAGGACAAACAUGGAAGCACAAAGUUUAUUAAACAGCAAAAUCUUUAAGCAAAGUAUCACUCACUCAUUACAGGCAGGCUUUUGAUUUUGCUCCAAUACCGCUUUUCCAGUCAUGCCAUGAUCAGCUUCAGGAAAUUGUUCCUCUACGAGCUCUUCUCUUUUCCUCUUCGGCAUACCAUCAUCAACACCAAGCACAAGCUUUUGUGUUUCUUCAUUCCUGACACCUGAUUCACUGUAAGCCAGCACGAAUAAAUUAAAGUUAAACCAAAUCCACUGCAACCCAGGAAUGAUCGAUGAAGCAAACAAACAUAAUAAUAGUUGGCACCUCAAGGUCCUCUUCUCGAUAUAGUUUGUUAAGCUAUUGCAUUGUAUUUCUUUAUCAUUUGAUAGGCUUGUCUGUUUCUUUUAAGUCACACAACAAACCUAGCUACAUAUCAAGCUGAAAACCUAGUGCAGCAUGAGUCCCUUCUGACAUUGUAACAUUAUCUUCAAUCUCAUUUUAUCUAUUUCCUUGCUAGCUUUUUCCUCCAUGUUGACUUUUCAACUAUUAAAUGCACAAAUCAUUAAACAACAAAAUUUUUAAGCAAAAUAUCACUCACUCAUCACUGGCAAGCUUCUGAUUUUGCUCAUUUUGUUCCAAUAUUGCUUUUCCAGUCAUGCCAUGAUCAGCUUCAGGAAAUCUUUCCUCCUUGACCAGCACUUCUCCUUUCUUCUUUGGCAUACCAUCAUCAACACCAAGCACAAGCUUUUGUGUUUCUUCAUUCGGGACAACUGAUUCACUGUAAGCCAGUACGAAUAAAUUAAAGUUAAACCAAAUCAACUGCAAGCCAGAAAUGAUUGAUGAAGCAAACAAACAUAAUAAUAGUUGGCACCUCAAGGUCCUCUUCUCGAUAUAGUUUGUUAAGCUAUUGCAUUGUAUUCCUUUAUCAACUAAUAGGCUUCUCUUUUCUUUUAAUUAGUCCCUUCUGACAUUGUAACAUUAUCUUGAGUCUCAUUUCAUCUAUUUCCUUCUCAGCUUUUUCCCUCCACAUCAUUUUCCAUUAUCCAAUGCAUAAUUCAUUAAACAACAAAAUUUUUAAGCAAAAUAUCACUCACUCAUUCCUGGGCAGCUUCUGAUUUUGCUCAUUUUGUUCCAAUACUGCCUUUCCAGUCAUGCCAUGAUCAGCUUCAGGAAAUCUUUCCUCCUUGACCAGCACUGCUCUUUUCUUCUUUGACAUACCAUCAUCAACACCAAGCACAAGCUUUUGUGUUUCUUCAUUCGGGACAACUGAUUCACUGUAAGCCAGUAAGAAUAAAUUAAAGUUAAACCAAAUCAACUGCAAGCCAGAAAUGAUUGAUGAAGCAAACAAACAUAAUAAUAGUUGGCACCUCAAGGUCCUCUUCUCAAUAUAGUUUGUUAAGCUAUUGCAUUGUAUUCCUUUAUCAACUAAUAGGCUUUUCUGUUUCUUUUAAUUAGUCCCUUCUGACAUUGUAACAUUAUCUUGAGUCUCAUUCUAUCUAUUUCCUUCCUAACUUUUUCCUCCACGUCAUUUUCCACUCUCUAAUGCUCAAUUCAUUAAACAAGAAAAUUUUUAAGCAAAAUAACACUCACUCAUUACUGGCCAACUUCUGAUUUUGCUCAUUUUGUUCCAAUACUGCUUUUCCAGUCAUGCCAUGAUCAUCUUCAGAAAAUCUUUCCUCCUUGACCAUCACUU